GGGGAAUAUUGCGCAAUGGGGGGAACCCUGACGCAGCAACGCCGCGUGGAGGAAGAAGGUCUUCGGAUUGUAAACUCCUGUCUUCUGGGACGAUAAUGACGGUACCAGAGGAGGAAGCCACGGCUAACUACGUGCCAGCAGCCGCGGUAAUACGUAGGUGGCGAGCGUUGUCCGGAAUUACUGGGCGUAAAGAGCGCGUAGGCGGUUUUUUAAGUCAGAUGUGAAAAUCCAGGGCUUAACUCUGGGCGUGCAUUUGAAACUGGGGAACUAGAGUGCAGGAGAGGUAAGUGGAAUUCCUAGUGUAGCGGUGAAAUGCGUAGAUAUUAGGAGGAACACCAGUGGCGAAGGCGACUUACUGGACUGUAACUGACGCUGAGGCGCGAAAGCGUGGGUAGCGAAC
rnacentral:rRNA from 1 species